AUGUAAGUUUAAGCGCCAGAACUAUUCUGAACGAAAUAGAGUAGUUGACGAGGUGGAGGUUCAUCGAAUAUCGGCGGAUGCCUCCCGGUUGAAUCACAGCCGUAAGCUUAUCCGAAAACAAAGAGGCAACUUUUUGCACAAACGGUUAAGUAUGAUUUCA
rnacentral:ncRNA from 2 species